rnacentral:rRNA from 1 species
GGACGCUCCGGGGGAUUUCCUUCGGGGAGUGGCGCACGGGUGAGUAGCGCGUGGGAACCUGUCCUUUUGUGGGGGAUAACCGAGGGAAACUUCGGCUAAUACCGCAUGCGCCCCCGGAGAGAUCCGGGGGGAAAGAUCUAUCGCAGAGGGAGGGGCCCGCGUCGGAUUAGGUUGUUGGUGGGGUAACGGCCUACCAAGCCGAUGAUCCGUAGCUGGUCUGAGAGGAUGAUCAGCCACACUGGGACUGAGACACGGCCCAGACUCCUACGGGAGGCAGCAGUGGGGAAUAUUGGACAAUGGGCGCAAGCCUGAUCCAGCAAUGCCGCGUGAGUGAAGAAGGCCUUCGGGUUGUAAAGCUCUUUGGGCGGGGACGAUGAUGACGGUACCCGCAGAACAAGCCCCGGCUAACUUCGUG